ACAGCCAACAGCCAGCCAUCAGCCUGGCAGUAAGAAAGGGGCUUGAGGCCUAUGGCUGCAGGAACCUGUAGCUAGGGGCAGUGCCCUGGCUCAGCAGCCCUGGCCUCCGAGGCCGUGAAGGUGCAGAAUGGCCCCCUUCCAGCCACAGCACCUGGUGAGUCGUCAGUGCUCCAUCACUGCGUGUUAAAGCACUUUCUGGGUCCGAAGAGACAACCCACCAACAGGCGGAGGGUUUAGGGAGAGGUGAGGACAGCAACUCCGACAUGGACCACUGUGUCCAACCCCUUUGGAGGUGGGCCCCGUGAGGAAGACUUGAGUCCUCCCCAGUAAAAGGCCAAAUUCGUCCACUCAAUUAAAUUCUACACACACUUACUGGGCAACUGCUAGUGCCAAGGUAUGUGCUAGGAUCUUGGGACAUAAGGAAGCAGAAAGAACAGAAACAUCAACAAACCAUGUCAACACUGAGAGAGGCAAUGGGUCUUGCUAUGUUGCCCAGGCUGGACUUGAACUCCUGGGCUCAAGUGAUCUUCCCGGCUCAACCUUCAAAAGUUCUGGAAUUACAGAUAUGAGCGACUACAUCCAACAGUUUCAUUAAAUAUUAAUUUCAUUU